GCAAGGGAUGGCGAGUUGUUAUUGAUGUGCUCUCAGUCACUUUUUCCAGUAUUAAUAAUUGGUUGUCAAGCUUCUUCAGUCCAGAUACCACAAUGGCUCAACCAAAAACCUUGUGGACCAUGUGGCAUAUCUGCCCACUCAUCAGGAAUCAGUGAGACACUGAAGGAAGUUGGAAGGUGUAUUUAGGAGAAAGAAGAAAUAAGGGCUCUAUAGGGGAAACCCAGGAGCUGGGAUCCUGGAAGAAGUCCUUCCACAAAGAGGGUGCCCAAGGCAGAUGUUUCUUUUCUGUGCAAACUCAUCUCAUUCUGCUUGAGGGUUUGUACCACAAAGGGAUCCAUACAAGCUAACAUGAGCUUACAUCCAAGGACUAUGACAUGAUUACAAAAGUGACAUGGGAAAUGAAAGAGGUUGGACUAUGGACCAAGAAACAAACAAAAAGACAGUGAUGAUAACAAUCAACCGUUCACCUGAAAGAAGGCUGAUGUCUGAAACCUCUGGGCUCAUCUCUGAAGAGGGAAGAGAAGAAAUCACGGGUGCAACUCAGCUGAGCAUCUCCUGCCUCACUCUCUUCAGAAGGUUCCCGAGCCAAGGGAAGCAUUAGGAAGAGCAAUAUCUAGCGUCCUGCCUCUCUGUGUGCCCUGGAGUCAGGGCCCAGGGCUUUGGGAGGAAGUUGGAAACAGACUGGGAAAUAAAGGCAUGCUUUCAUCUGGUAACUGCAUGGGGAUGCCUGUAGUGUAUGU